GAUGAACGCUGGCGGCGUGCCUAAUACAUGCAAGUCGAGCGAACAGACGAGGAGCUUGCUCCUCUGACGUUAGCGGCGGACGGGUGAGUAACACGUGGAUAACCUACCUAUAAGACUGGGAUAACUUCGGGAAACCGGAGCUAAUACCGGAUAAUAUAUUGAACCGCAUGGUUCAAUAGUGAAAGACGGUUUUGCUGUCACUUAUAGAUGGAUCCGCGCCGCAUUAGCUAGUUGGUAAGGUAACGGCUUACCAAGGCGACGAUGCGUAGCCGACCUGAGAGGGUUAUCGGCCACACUGUAACUGAGACACGUUCCAGACUCCUUCGUGAGGCAGCAGUAGGGAAUCUUCCGCAAUGGGCGAAAGCCUGACGGAUCAACGCCGCGUGAGUGAUGAAGGUCUUCGGAUCGUAAAACUCUGUUAUUAGGGAAGAACAAAUGUGUAAGUAACUAUGCACGUCUUGACGGUACCUAAUCAGAAAGCCACGGCUAACUACGUG
rnacentral:rRNA from 1 species